CUAAACCCUUCCCAGAGUAUCAAUUGGAGGGCAAGUCUGGUGCCAGCAGCCGCGGUAAUUCCAGCUCCAAUAGCGUAUAUUAAAGUUGUUGCAGUUAAGAAGCUCGUAGUUGAAUUUCUGCCUUGUCAUUAAUCUCGCUUCCGAGCGUUUUUUUAUUGACUUGGCAUCUUCUGGAUUUGGUGCCUUCGGGUACUAUUUUCCAGGAUUUACUUUGAGAAAACUAGAGUGUUUCAAACAGGCAUUUGCCUUGAAUACUACAGCAUGGAAUAAUGAAGUAGGACUUUGGUUCUAUUUUGUUGGUUAUUGAGCCAGA
rnacentral:rRNA from 1 species